CACAGUCAUAAAAAUAACUGGUAACCCAUGAUUGACAGAUUCAGGCAUUGCCAUUCAUCCUGCCCGUGGUGGCAUGUGCUUGAAAGAAAGUAAAACCCAUGUAACAGUGGUGAUAGAUAUUGCCUUGUUUGCCAUAAAGCAGACCUCAGGAAACAAGAUCAGUACACUUCAAAAGUAACAGCAUUGCUCUCACCGAGAGCUGGUUUCUCUUUUUUCACCUUCCUUCCCUCUGCCAGUCCCAAGGUUACCAUUUUAACUUCAUGCUCUUCCUCUUUCUUUGGUACCAACAUUUCACUUGAAUGAGGUUACUCACAGCUAAACGAGGAUUUCCCUGUUAACAGGCUCUGACCCUGGAGCCCCUUUUUACCCUUCCAGCCCUUCAGUACUGAAGAGGACCAACAACCAUUCCUAAGAUCCACUCAGCUGUCUGAUUGCUUUCAGAGCAGUUAAGAAAUCUCAUCUGAUUUCCUGUCCUUGUCCUUCAGGUCAUUGUGUUUGCCUGCCUUUGAGGACACAAACCUGGAAACUUCCCACUGAUCUGUGGACAAACGGUCCCUUCCAGCUGUCCACAGUGCCUUCAAGUGUCUGGAAGUCCUGUCCUCUCAGACACAGUGCUGUGUUAAAGCCAGCAGGUGACCUGCUGAGACCUGAUUGAAGUCUUUCUGGGGACAGCUUCCACUGGCUGCAGGCUGUAACCCCUGAAUACAAUGGAUGCACAGAGAGGGAGGAACUUUGUCUGCAGAGUACAAACAGGGAGUGCCCCAGAAGGCUGAGGAAUGCCUCUCUGCUUCUUGCUGUGCUGAAACUCGGUGUUGCUGCCAUGCCCUGGUGAUGUCAUGCCCUGAUAGUGCCAUGCCUCAAGGGUGCAGUGUCCUGGUGGUGCCAUGCACUGAUGGCUCCAGCUGCUGUCAGAUCUCAGUCCAGUCAUCCCUGCUGAUCCCAGCUGUCAGUGGACUGGGAGCUGCUGGCACACCUUGCAUUUCCCACACACUGCCCAGUGCCUGUACAGUCAAGUCCAGGUUUAUGAGUAUUCUCAUUCUGGGUUUAAUUGCACUUUGGUGCAUCAAGUAGUGUCUUACUUGGCAGUAAUUCUCAUUCAGUCUUAGUCAUGAGGAUGGAAUUGGUCCUAUAGCAGUAGUGAUAAUAGCUCUUCACCUUAAGUCCUUUCCAACACUCCAACACUCCCUGCACUCUCUCCUCAUCACAAAAGCAAACAGAAGCUACCAGGAAAGCAACAGCUGGUUCAGAGGGACCUGUCCUCUCGUUGAUUUGAUAGAGAGCACAGGAUUGUGCCAGGGAGUGCUUGCUCCAGGACCAUAGCUGGAGCUAAAGCCUAACUUGUUGAGAUACUGAAGUACUAGGAAUCAUAGAAUGUUAGAAUGGCUUAGUUUGGAAGGGACCUUAAGAAUCAUCCACUUCCUACCCCCCUUGCUUCCCACCAGAUCAGGCUGCCCUGGGCCCCAUCCUACCUGGCCUUGAACACCUCCAGGAAUGGGACACUGAAGACACUGACUCUAUGCAAUGGAGAACUAAACACUUCUUUAAAUAAAAUUGUCUAGUGGUUAACAGUACUGACUUUCACGUAUUCUACCUCUAGCUUGAAUCUACCUGGCUUUAUCUACCAGGCAUCAAAAAAUAAAUUGACUUUAUUUUCCCUAUUCAACAGCAAGUGUAUCUGACAGCACUUGGCUCAGUGUUCCUCUCACCCACCUCUCCUGUUCUUGUGUGGAAGGUUUUAUGAGCUGUGUGUGGACUUUGGGAAAGAGGUCUUGCGCUCAGUAACAGCUACAAUCACUUGUCCUGCUGCAAGGUGACCCACAGCAGGCCAUGUGUGACAGCUGAUAGCUGUAGCUCGUCAGCAGCAGCUUGAUCUAUGCACUGCUAUUCAUCUCAAGUAUCUUCAAAAUAGUAAAACGGUUUUCAGGUUGUUUUGUUUGUCUGUUUGUUUCUGGUUUUUUUUUCUUCCUUCCAUUUUGGUCACGUCCAGCUCUGUAUUACAAGAUGCAGAGUAACAGUUUAUGAACCAUACUGAGUAAUGGCUCCAGGGCUUGUUUACCAACACCCACCAGAGACUCCAGCUUUCUGCAGAAAGAGAAACCGAGCCCAGGCUUAUCCAGAUAUCAAGCUGUCACAUUCCUUUGGGCCUGCAGAGCAAACUGGCCUUUGUGAAGAAUGUUUACCAUGACUGUAAGGCAGCUGUGUUUAAAGAAUCUUUUGAGGAAAGUCUAGAAAUAGCCAGCUGGAUUACCAUAACAGAUUCUUAGCUAAUUGUCAGCGAAGAACAGCUGCUCAUCAGCCACAGGUUUGUGCCCAUCACAGGUAAUGCAAUUGAAUGACAGUGGCAAGACUCCGACUCAAAGCCAAGCAAGGAUGGAGGGAAGUCUUCAAGGUCCAAAUUCCACCCAGCACCAAGCUGUAACUUAGGUAUUAAUACAUUCAUUAUCUCAGGAUAUGUUCCUGAAAGAUGAAUAAAGGAGCCUACCUAUUUCAUCCUUGUCUCUGUGGCUGCAGUAAUUACUUCUGCUCAGCUCAGACUGCCACAGCGUUAUACUCUCACUGUGUGAGGGUUCUGAUUACAGCUCAUUUUUUGCAGCAAUUGACAGCUUCCAAUUUAGUAGUUGUGGACAGAUAUGCUGUCAGAUUUGUAGUGCAGGAGAGAGCUGGCCACAGACUGAAUUCAUCAAUAUGCUUGGUUUAUUCAAACAGCUUGAAAUGAGACAUACACAGACAAACACAGGAGAAAUUUCUCUUAUUUUGCCUCAUCCUUGCUUCAGUUCCAUAACUUCAAGCCCGGCAAUCUAGGCAGAGGCUUAUUGCUUCUUCAGGUCAAAUGCAGGUUUUUAUGAUAAGAGGUCUCCCCCAUGCAAGGAAUCCUGACUUUUGUUUUGUUUUGUUUUGAGCUGCAGCAGCUCUCCAUCUUGAACAGCUCCUUUUUCAUGCCACAGAACAGGAAACAGGGGCAGGUGAGCACAGCAUGUGGAAAAGUAUGGGACAAAAUAUGAGGGAUCUUGUUAAGGCCAUCAGUUACUUUGUAUGUCCAUGGAGCACAGGCUCUGGGGUACAUUGACUUGGACUUACUCUCUUAAAUACUCUUUUAGCCCGGGCUGGAAAGAUCUUUUAAUUGGACAGGUAAAUAGACUAGCCAUAUUUUUGUUGGUUUUUGUUUGUUUGUUUGUUUUGUUUUGUUUUUAUACACAUAUAUAUGCAUAUAUUUGCUAGAAGUAUAUUUUUUUGUCACUGUCUCCAACAGACACUGGGAGAAGUAUUUUAAUGCUUAUUUUAUUCAUCUUCCUUGAAAGGUGAACCUUUUCUUAAUCUCCUCUAAUGGACCCAAAAUUUCAUUAUUUUUUUUUCCAGCAGGAAAGCUGUAGAAAUUUCUAAGCUGUAAAUUUUCACAAUUCAAACUCAAACUUACUUGUUCUUUUCCAUUUUUCAUUUGUCUGAUAAUGAAGAUUGUUGUCUCCCUGUGGCCUUACUUCCUAGUUUUCCUGCCAGCAUUUAUUUAUGACUGAAACACUAAAGUUAUCUUUAGAGCAAAACUGGUAGAACUAGCUACACAAAAGGAUAUUUAUUAACUGAUUGAAAUACCAAUGAAAUAUGAUCAAAAGGAUAUUUAUUAACUGAUUGAAAUACCAAUGAAAUAUGAUGAUGAACAGAUGAAGUAACUCAUAUUAUAUAUAUAUAUAUUUUCUGUACAACUGUAAAGUUCUUUAUUUUAGAAGCCAUGUAGUCAAGUUUUGCCUUAUCGUUUACCUACUCUGUUUACCCGAGAGUGGAGAAGCUUCCAGAACACGUGGAAGAGGCUCUGUACUCUAUAGCAGAUGACAACGAUCCUGUUAACUCCAAUUCUAGCAGCUUAUGCUUUCAGUAUGCAGUUCCUCGAGUUGGUUCGGUGAUUUAUGAUGGCCCAGAUGGUAUCUGGCAAACAUGCACUUGCAAAGGAUCCACAGAAGCCAGAAGCAGCCAGACACGCACAUCUGAAGGCAGUGAGCAUUAUCCUGCCUUGCACUUCUACUGCAAUAGAAAACAUGGGCAAUAAUAACACUGUGGAGGGUCAGGAGUGGGAGCAGGACUUGUCACUUGAGCUCUACAGCUGCACAAUUGCAUUACUUAGGAUCUGAGAAUGGCACAGAACCACCCCAUCCCAGGUUGGAAAACACAGAAUUAGAAAGGUGAGUAAUGAGGCAGGCACCCUUUUGGAGCUGCCUGGGCUUACUGGCUUACAUGAGCUAGGAACAAAAGCUGGGCAAGCAGCUGAUCCCGCAGAAGACCAGUUGAUACAAGCCUCAGGAGCCCUUGCUGGGUCACCUUCACUCACCGUGAGGGACUUGGAAAGUCCAGUAGGUUCUCCGCUUGCAUCAUUCUGUAUUUCUCUGCCAUAGAUGAACUGUUCUAAAUCACUGAAGUGCAGACUUUUCAGUUCUGUACUGCGUUAGGCUAAAAACUAGGCUAAUAAAAUUGCAAGAGAACAAAAAAUGAAUAUCCUGUUUGCACAUUUCCAGCGUGCAAAAGGCAUAAAAUUACUUUCAUGAGUAGAGUGAGUCACAUCUGGCUGCUUGAAUUCGUUUUUAAAGAAAAAAAUGCAAGUCUAUCUUUAUAGGAUCAUAGAAUGGCUUGGUUUGGAAGGGACAUUAAACCCCAUCCAGUUCCAGUUCCCUGCCAUGGACAGGCUUGCCCCCCACUAAAUCAGGCUGCCCAGGGAAAGUGACAUUCAGAUAUUUUCUUUACAGUAUGCUCCUCAUAUAUGUAGGCUGGAGCCUUAGAUGUCAUCCAGCUUAAUCCUACUGUUUUAAUUCUGUUCAAAGACUGACUUUAUUUAGCUUUUUAUGAAAUGAAGGUGAAAAGAAUUGCCAGCAUCAAAGCAAUUAUUACAAGAAUAUUGUUAGUAAGGCUGUGAAAAAGUGAAUACAGGAGGGACUAGAAAGUCUCCUGGGAAGGAUUUAUUCUAGAGAUAGAAAAUACAUUUGUGUCAUUAUUUUAGAAAAAGUGUGUUCUAUAAUGGCAAGAUUUGCUAUUAAAUGCAAUAUAAAUUGCACAUCUGGCUGGUGGAAAUAAAAGAAAUCUUUCAGGAUUAGAAAGGAAAUAGAUGAGGAUUUACCAGAGUUUUUUUUUAUUAUUAAUAGAAAACUUCUGAGUUCUCAGCAGAGAUCAGGGUUAUAAGUAGAAGUGGAUUCCCUUUCCUCCUUUGUUCAUCUUUAUAAGCAAUUAACAUCAGGCAAAAAUAGUAUCACCUAACUGCCAAUAUAGGGACUGCGUACAUUUAGAUAAUGUUAGUUUAAUCCAUACAUAGGUGGAAAAGACUAUAGAGAAAAAGAAGCACUAAGGGCAUAUUCCACACCUUAAACUCUUUGGUGAAUGUACCCCUCCAGGGAUACUACAUACUGUCUUAAACCCAUGAUCUUAUCCUAGUUCAGUCUUGCAAUAGUUUUGGUUAGCAGUGGUAUGUUAUGUACAUGCAAAGACUUAGAGUGACUGUCUAUUUGCAAGAGAAGGAAAUACGUAUUCUUAAAAUAAUUGCCUUAUAAAAUUGCAAUUUGUAGGAGGUGAUUAGCAUAUUGAAAGUAGUUUGAAGACAUACACGUACAAUUUCCAGCCUGAGCUACACAUAACUCCUUUGCAAAAGAUUGUUUCUCCAGGAAGCACUGGUUGAAGCUUCACAAGUGUUGCUGUGAGGUGUUGGAGGGAGCUGCCCAAAUCCUGGACCACUCUUUCUCCUAACAAGUGUCUGGAAGAGCUUGUCUGCCUGUUGGGCCAGGGUUGUGUCGAAUCUUUUGUGGAAUUUAAAUUAAAUUAUUAAGGCAAACUCUUUAUUGAAUUUAUAAUGAAGUCUGACUCAUUCUGUGUUUACAUGAGGAUGUCCUUUAUUUUGUCGGGUUAUUGCUUAAUUAGUAAAUAAAGAAAUAUUAAGUACAAAUUUCAUUAGUAAAUAAAGAAAUAUUAAGUGCAAUAUUUCAAAAUGAUGUGUACUGUAAAGUCCUGUUUACAUCUACCACACCAAUAUUUAACUCACUUUCUGUUAGUCUUGAAGCUAUUAAUGUUGGUAAUUACAGGAGGCAACUUGUCUAAUACCGACUGUAUUGUGGAAUAAAGUGAUGUUGAGCUGCUGGAGUGUGUUUUAUAUUAAGUACAAAAAGCUUCUGAUACAUUUAAUAUAACUAUAAAUCUUAACUCAAAUGCUUAUAUGUCUCUUUUAUGACCUGAAUAAACUCUGGGGUAGGAGUGGGGCAACUGAAUUUCUGCUUGCUGCCAAACCGCAUAGUCAGCUGAAUAAGCACUUACAAUAUCCUUUUCAUAUUGAAUAGUAGCAGAAGGACAGAAAAAAAGGCUGAAUAUUUUCUCUAAAUGAAGUAAUUUUUUUC
rnacentral:lncRNA from 1 species